rnacentral:rRNA from 1 species
UGUAAGCGUAUACCAACGUUGUUGCAGUUAAAACGCUCGUAGUCGGAAUUUGGCAGUUCCGGAAGUGUGCACGUCGUGUGCGCACUUUGCGGGGACUGCUUUUGUGGUCUUGCGUAGGAUGAGGCACUUUCAUUAGUGAACGUCCUCACGCAACCACUCUUUACUGUGAGAAAAUCAGAGUGCUCAAAGCAGGCAUUUGCCGUGAAUGUAUUAGCAUGGAAUAAUAGAAUAGGACUCGGUUCUAUUUUGUUGGUUUGUUGGGACUGAGUAAUGAUUAAGAGGGACAGUUGGGGGCAUUUGUAUUCCGGCGCUAGAGGUGAAAUUCUUAGAUUGCCGGAAGACAAACUGCUGCGAAAGCGUCUGCCAAGGAUGUUUUCAUUGA